GUGCUUGCUUCAGAAGCACAUAUACUAAAAUUGGAAUAAUAUAGAGAAGAAUAACAUGCCCCCUGUGCAAGGAUGACAUGCAAAUUCAUGAAGCAUUCCAUAUUUUU